GCAGUCGAGCGGACAGAAGGGAGCUUGCUCCUGGAAGUCAGCGGCGGACGGGUGAGUAACACGUGGGCAACCUGCCCUUUAGAUUGGGAUAACUUCGGGAAACCGAAGCUAAUACCGAAUAAUACAAGGAACCUCCUGGUUCUCUGUUGAAAGAUGGCCUUUGUGCUAUCACUAAAGGAUGGGCCCGCGGCGCAUUAGCUAGUUGGUAAGGUAACGGCUUACCAAGGCGACGAUGCGUAGCCGACCUGAGAGGGUGAUCGGCCACACUGGGACUGAGACACGGCCCAGACUCCUACGGGAGGCAGCAGUAGGGAAUCUUCCGCAAUGGACGAAAGUCUGACGGAGCAAUGCCGCGUGAGUGAGGAAGGCCUUCGGGUCGUAAAGCUCUGUUGUGAGGGAAGAACAAGUACCGGCGUAACUACCGGUACCGUGACGGUACCUCACCAGAAAGCCACGGCUAACUACGUGCCAGCAGCCGCGGUAAUACGUAGGUGGCAAGCGUUGUCCGGAAUUAUUGGGCGUAAAGCGCGCGCAGGCGGCUUCUUAAGUCUGAUGUGAAAUCUCGGGGCUCAACCCCGAGCGGCCAUUGGAAACUGGGAAGCUUGAGUACAGAAGAGGAGAGUGGAAUUCCACGUGUAGCGGUGAAAUGCGUAGAUAUGUGGAGGAACACCAGUGGCGAAGGCGACUCUCUGGUCUGUAACUGACGCUGAGGGCGCGAAAGCGUGGGGAGCAAACAGGAUUAGAUACCCUGGUAGUCCACGCCGUAAACGAUGAGUGCUAGGUGUUAGGGGUUUCGAUGCCCGUAGUGCCGAAGUAAACACAUUAAGCACUCCGCCUGGGGAGUACGAC
rnacentral:rRNA from 1 species